AGUGGAGCCUGCGGCUUAAUUUGACUCAACACGGGGAAACUCACCAGGUCCAGACACAAUAAGGAUUGACAGAUUGAGAGCUCUUUCUUGAUUUUGUGGGUGGUGGUGCAUGGCCGUUCUUAGUUGGUGGAGUGAUUUGUCUGCUUAAUUGCGAUAACGAACGAGACCUUAACCUACUAAAUAGUGCUGCUAGCAUUUGCUGGUAUAGUCACUUCUUAGAGGGACUAUCGAUUUCAAGUCGAUGGAAGUUUGAGGCAAUAACAGGUCUGUGAUGCCCUUAGACGUUCUGGGCCGCACGCGCGCUACACUGACGGAGCCAGCGAGUAUAAACCUUGGCCGAGAGGUCUGGGAAAUCUUGUGAAACUCCGUCGUGCUGGGGAUAGAGCAUUGUAAUUAUUGCUCUUCAACGAGGAAUUCCUAGUAAGCGCAAGUCAUCAGCUUGCGUUGAUUACGUCCCUGCCCUUUGUACACACCGCCCGUCGCUACUACCGAUUGAAUGGCUUAGUGAGGCUUCCGGAUUGGUUUAGAGAAGGGGGCAA
rnacentral:rRNA from 1 species